AGAAUCAACGCUGGCGGCGUGCCUAACACAUGCAAGUCGCACGAGAAAGUGGAGCAAUCCAUGAGUAAAGUGGCGCACGGGUGAGUAACACGUGAAUGAUCUACCUCCGAGUGGGGAAUAACUGAGAGAAAUCUUAGCUAAUACCGCAUAAUACCCACGGGUCAAAGCAGCAAUGCGCUUGGAGAGGAGUUCGCGGCCGAUUAGCUAGUUGGCGGGGUAAUGGCCCACCAAGGCGAUGAUCGGUA
rnacentral:rRNA from 1 species